rnacentral:rRNA from 1 species
UACGGAGGGUGCUAGCGUUGUUCGGAAUUACUGGGCGUAAAGGGCGCGUAGGCGGCCGUUUGCGUCGGAUGUGAAAGCCCGGGGCUCAACCCUCGGAACGGCAUUCGAUACGGGACGGCUGGAGACCGGGAGAGGAGAGUGGAAUAGCCAGUGUAGAGGUGAAAUUCGUAGAUAUUCGGCAGAACACCGGUGGCGAAAGGCGG